AGAGUUUGAUCCUGGCUCAGGAUGAACGCUAGCGGCAGGCUUAACACAUGCAAGUCGAGGGGCAGCAAGGGUAGCAAUACCUGUUGGCGACCGGCAAACGGGUGCGGAACACGUACAGAAUCUGCCUUUAUCUGGGGCAUAGCCUUUGGAAACGAAGAUUAAUACCCCAUAAUAUUACUGAGUGGCAUCACUCUGGUAAUUAAAGAACUUCGGAUAGAGAUGACUGUGCGUACUAUUAGCUAGUUGGUAGGGUAACGGCCUACCAAGGCUACGAUAGUUAGCUGGUGUGAGAGCACGACCAGCCACACGGGCACUGAGACACGGGCCCGACUCCUACGGGAGGCAGCAGUGAGGAAUAUUGGGCAAUGGACGCAAGUCUGACCCAGCCAUGCCGCGUGAAGGAUGAAGGCGUUCUGCGUCGUAAACUUCUUUUACCUGGGAAGAAACCUGCGUAUUCUUAUGCAGCCGACGGUACCAGAGGAAUAAGCACCGGCUAACUCCGUGCCAGCAGCCGCGGUAAUACGGAGGGUGCGAGCGUUAUCCGGAUUUACUGGGUUUAAAGGGUGUGUAGGCGGGCUAUUAAGUCAGCGGUGAAAUCUUCGGGCUCAACCCGGAAACUGCCAUUGAUACUAUUAGUCUUGAAUAUUGUGGAGGUAUGCGGAAUGUGUCAUGUAGCGGUGAAAUGCUUAGAGAUGACACAGAACACCGAUUGCGAAGGCAGCGUACUACACAAUUAUUGACGCUGAGGCACGAAAGCGUGGGGAUCAAACAGGAUUAGAUACCCCGGUAGUCC
rnacentral:rRNA from 1 species